AGAACGAACGCUGGCGGCAGGCCUAACACAUGCAAGUCGAGCGCUGUAGCAAUACAGAGCGGCGCACGGGUGAGUAACACGUGGGAACGUGCCCUUUGGUUCGGAAUAACUCAGGGAAACUUGAGCUAAUACCGGAUGAGCCCUAACGGGGAAAGAUUUAUCGCCGAAGGAGCGGCCCGCGUUGGAUUAGCUAGUUGGUGGGGUAAAAGCCUACCAAGGCGACGAUCCAUAGCUGGUUUGAGAGAACGACCAGCCACACUGGGACUGAGACACGGCCCAGACUCCUACGGGAGCAGCAGUGGGGAAUCUUGGACAAGUGGGGGAAACCCUGAUCCGAGCCAUCGCCGCGUGAGUGAGUGAAGGCCCGUAGGGUAGUAAAACUCGUUUCGGGACGGGGACGAUAAGUGGACCGGUACCGCGAAGGAAGGAAGCCGUCCGG
rnacentral:rRNA from 1 species